ensembl:lncRNA novel transcript
GAGGAGCAUGCACAGGAGAGAUUCUAUUUUCCUUGGAUGGCUUUCUUGAGCCUUGGAAAUCUGGCUCACCAGGAAUUCUAGGCUUCUGUUGUCCCUUGCUUCCUAUCUACCAAAAGCACAAUGAUGCCUUUCUUUUUACUCACAUUUGAUGACAUCCAUAGUGAGAAACAGCAGUUCCACUGUCCAACACCAGGAAAUGUUCUGACUGUUUCACCGCUCCAGCUAAUACUUACAGAGGUGUGGCCUAUUCCCACUUGUAUUGGGGGCUUUAGAAUCUGACUCCUUACAUUCCUAAGAUUAAAAGACAUCUUGUGCUGUUUUAUGUUCUGAGAAGGAUUGAUUACCACAAAGACAGAUCUAUAGAGAAUGUGAGUGGAAACUAUACGAGCUGCUAACGGGACAAGGCAUUUAAGAAUCAUCCGAGUUCUGCUCUUCUUGCUGGCUGGAGCUAAGAAUUCAAGAACAAACACCAGCAAAGAGAUUCAAUACAAAUAUCCAAUUUUGAGAUAAGGGAUGGAUAACCAUAGUGUGAGUUGAGCCACAGAAAUGUGGAUGAAUUCAAUAAAUAUUUGGAUGAUUGUUUAACAUUACUUCAUAAUUGAUGGGAAUAAAAAAGUAUAACAAAGAGAAGAAAUCAAGGCUGCAGCAUGACAAAAGGCAUGCCCUCAGAACUUUUAAUCUUUAUGAAACAUUUGAAGACCUCGAGAAAGGACAAUACCCUUGGUUCUAUACAGAUGCUGUCAUGAAUUCAUCUUAUAUCAGUUUCAUAAAUCUGAGAAAACAAACUAGAGAGAAGGCAACACAUAUUUCAUUUUAGCUGUGAGCAACUUCCAUUGUGAAUCAAGGAUUCAUUCAAAAUACAUCUGGUAUGAGGUUUUGCUUUUCACAGAAUGGCAACAUCUAACCUCAUCACACAGAAUCCAUGUAGUCAAAUACCAUUGAGGAUAGUUGUGUGGUCACUAUGUUGUAAUAUCAGACAAAGAUGACAGUGAAUCUGCAAAAGAAGAAAGCAUUCUGAGAACCACUGAUUCCAGAGCAGGUGAAGCAGCCCUCACGGUCAGCCAAGGGGAGGAAUAGAGCCUUCUCAGUCCUUUCCUGGGUUUUCACACACUCCUGCACAUGAUCAUAUCCUUCUAGACUCCCAGGAAUACGUCGAGUUCUUCCAAGCCACCAUGGAUGUCUCAUUUGACAGAUUUUCCUUUAAGUUUUUGCCAAGCUUCUUGUUUGUCCAACUAGUGUUGCCUCCUCAGGCAGCUGCAGUGUUAAGGCAAUGCUGCUGAUUUUUCUUUCUUUCUAUUUUAUUUUUUAUUUUUUUUUUUUUUGGACAAAACCCUGGGUAUAGGGCUUUUAUCACUAAGUGGACUCUGAGGCGGAUCAAAUAAAGACAAGCCCUGGGAAUGGAACUUUUUCAAGGACCUGGUAAACAGGUCAAAUAGUAACAAUUCUCUUGGGAUGUAGCUUUUUGAGAAGUUUCAAACCUAUUCUGUAUCCUCUAGUCAUUGCUAAACUGUUUAUUUUCAAAGCUUGCUGGUUGCAUGACUGAUUGCUUUAAAGUCUACUACCCUAGAGCUGAAGAGAAAGGAGGGGAAUAGAAUAAGACAAAAUGCUCAAACUUGCAGUUCUUCCCCCAGUUUAAUCAUUGUCCUUGAGUAAAUACUCCUCAUAUUAUAGCAACCAUUUAGUUAAUUACCAGGACUCAAAAAUAGUUGAUAUUGACUAUUUGUGACAGUGUUCUCUUUCUUUUUAGAGAUUUUUAGAUGUCCUUACACUGCCAUUUCUAAAAGUAAAAUAGAGCUUAACAGAAAAGAUGAAUCAAUCUGAAACGUAUAAUUAACAAGCAAAUUUUAUUUUAAAAACCCAUUAAAUUUAUGCUGAGAGAUGAUAAAUUUAAAUACAAAAAUAA